rnacentral:rRNA from 1 species
CCUACGGGUGGCAGCAGUCGAGAAUCAUUCACAAUGGGGGAAACCCUGAUGGUGCGACGCCGCGUGGGGGAAUGCAGGUCUUCGGAUUGUAAACCCCUGUCAUGUGGGAGCAAAUUAAAAAGCUAGUACCCCAAGAGGAAGAGACGGCUAACACUGUGCCCGCAGCCGCGGUACUACAGAGGUCUCAAGCGUUGUUCGGACUCACUGGGCGUGAAGCGUGCGUAGGCUGUUUCGUAAGUCGUGUGUGAAAGGCGCGGGCUCAACCCGCGGACGGCACAUGAGACUGCGAGACUAGAGUAAGGGAGGGGGAAGCGGAAUGCUCGGUGUAGCAGUGAAAUGCGUAGAUAUCGAGAGGAACACUCGUGGCGAAGGCGGGUUCCUGGACAUUAACUGACGCUGAGGCACGAAGGCCAGGGGAGCGAAAGGGAUUAGAUACCCGAGUAGUC